AUUCAUGUUUCCCUGCAUACAUACAUACUAUUUCAGUUUUAAUUAAUUUAUAAACAAAAAAUAGAAAUUCUAUGUAUUGUAAAGUUGUUCUUUGACUAAACAUGGUGAAGUAGACAUUAUAUACCUGAUCUAUCUCUUCCCUAGUAUUCAUCACAAAAGGUCCAUGCCAAACCACAGGUUCUUUUAAUGGCUGUCCCGCAAUCAGACUUAAGCGACAGCCUUAAUUAAACAUAAAUAUUAUAAUCAACAUAUAUUAGUUAAAAAUGGUCUGUCGUUUUUAAACGGCGGCAGUAUGUUUGUUUCUAACCAAGAAGUAUUGAAUCAAAGUGUAAAAAUACGAGGGUGAUUCAAUAAAUUACUAUCAAUAAGGGUCUUCCAGAGAAACUAUUGAACAUAGCAGCACGGGAGUUUCAUGACUUCAUCAAGCCAUUCAAUGAUGAUUACUCAACAUAAUAUGUGGAAUACUAAUGUAAUUAGUUACAACUGACAAAGUUAUCCAAUGUUGAAUUACACAUACUCGUAUAUUUUAGUUUUAUGAAACGUGGAGAAAAAGUUGAAACUAGUGCAUACAUUACAGCCCAGGUGUGUUUUUGGACAUCUCCAAAAGAGAUAUUUUCUAAAUUGGGUCGUAUCCAUGGUAGUUCCGUAGUAACAAUAAGAACAAUAAUUAUUCCAUUCGGGUUUAAAAUAAAAUUCAAAGUAGGGUCAAAAUAGUUUUCAAGACCAUACCCGUCCAGGCAGGCAUGCUAUACAUUGCUGCUGUAAACGGUUUGGUAAAAGUAUUUAGGCCAUAAUUUAUUGAAUCACCCUCGUAAUCAGCAUUUUGUCGAAAAGAAUUGCCUCUUUAAAUUUAUAUACUAGAAAUUCGUAAUACUGAACAAUACAUGGCAUCUUUCUGUCAAUCAGCUAACAUAUAAACCACAACCGAAUACUGAGCGAAUAGUUGGAAAUUUGCAAAUCAUUUUUGACACGUUGGAAAUAUAUAUGAUAGCAGACAUUUCUUUCAAAAACGUAUCAAAGUACAAUGUAUAUCAAAGUAAAGAUGAAAUAAAACAAUGUAUACAUACCA
rnacentral:lncRNA from 1 species